UUUGUUGGAGAGUUUGAUCCUGGCUCAGGACGAACGCUGGCGGCGUGCUUAACACAUGCAAGUCGAGCGGAAAGGCCCUUUCGGGGGUACUCGAGCGGCGAACGGGUGAGUAACAC
rnacentral:rRNA from 1 species